ACCUUGCCACAUUCCCAUGAACAGGUGGAAUUUAUUUCUCCAUGUCCUUCAAUUCUGUCUGGCUCUAUGAGUGCUCAAACCAAUUGAAUAUGGCUAAAGUGUCACUGUGCUAGUCCCACGUGUGGCCCUUAACUGGCUGGAAACUUCUGUCUCCUGCCUCCUGUAACACCUGCUCUUGUGAUGGUGACUCACAGAACGCUGACUCCCCUAGCUGUUGGGCUGUGAGAAGUUCAAGACACAUGGAGAGGCCAUAAGGGGGCGCUCUGGUCCACUGCCUCAGCAUCAGUUGCCAUUCAUGGGAGUGAGCCAUCCUGGAUGCCCAGCCCACUGAGCCUACAGAUGACUUCAGACCCAGCUGAUACUGGACUGCAACCAUACAAGACACUGGUAAUCAACCUGGUAGUAGGAGUUAGGAUGGAGUGUGGUUGGCGGAUGAUAGGACUCAGAAAUAAAAUCGCUGAAAUGGAUUCCUGCUUUGAAUAAUACAGGGAAACAGACCCGGGCCCCGGCGGUGAGAGCACUGAAUCUUAACCACUGACCAAUAUGGCUGGCUUUAAAAACGUUUCCUAAGCACUUCUGAUGUGGGUAACCAAAACCUGAACAUAACCCACGCAGCCCCUCCAGGAAGAUCUCCAUCCACUAGGGGAAUCAGACACUGCUUUAAAUCAUUGUCGACACAAUAAAAUAUGGA